rnacentral:tmRNA from 1 species
GGGGAUGCCACGGCUUUGACGUUGUGAUUGGUAGAUCCGGGUUGCGAGUCCGAGAGCUGUUCUCGGUUAUCAACGGGCAAACUAAAAUGAAAUGACAACAAAGUUGUUUCUCUUGACGCUUACAGAAUGGCAAAAGCUGCCUAACCGCUGCGCGGUUGCGUCCCUCUUAGCCGGCCAGCUUGCCGCUUGCUAAGAUGAAAUAUGCAAGAUGCAGUACUCAAAUGAUGGUAUGAGUAUCAAGUUUUACCAUUGAAGGUUAGGCUUCCGCAAAAAGUCUUUGGCUUAACUUAGGUUAUGUAACUUUCCUUGUUAAUCUGAGCUAAUAAGUUACUACACUCGUAGAUAUCAGUUUUUAUCCGCAUCGGACGCGGGUUCAACUCCCGCCAUCUCCACCA